rnacentral:lncRNA from 1 species
AUGUGCUGGGGUGGGUCUUUGAGGCGGUGGGCAUGUCCAGGCGCUAGGUACUUACUGUGCUACCGCCAGAACUGGCUUUUUAAGCCUUGGAGUUCAGAACAAUAUACCCAGCUGUGCCUCUGCCAAUCAUCUGGGCAGCAUGUAAGUUGCAGUCGCAUUGGCAGGUGGCUGAUAAUGGCAAUUCUGAUAACGUUUGGUCCCGGGAGCCUCUGUCCUCCUUUACCACCCUCGAACAAUGGCAAUUCUGCUCUCAGUAGAUUCUCCUACAGUGUGUUUCCAACACAAGCUUAGGGGGGUACUGGUGCAGGGGUGGGAGCCUCUCCUAUCUGCCAUCACGGCAGACCUAGGUCAGGCUACCACCUCAUGUCUCUGAGGAAGGGAUUGGUGGCUCUCAGCCAGGUCCCCAUUAAACAAACGUCUGUAUCCCCCAAGCUCCGUCGUCUUUCCUGCUCUGUGGCUCCCAUCUUGAUACAUGCAGUGGGAAUGGGCCUUGUUCUCACCUUUCCCAGUGCUCCUUAUACAUGGAACCUCAGCCCUAGAUUAUGGGGCUGGAGUUAGAGGGAGGGCAGUUUGCCUGGGCUGUACCCAGCCUGGAGGCCUUCAGUUUCCAGGGCUAUCCCACUGGCAUCUCUGUCGAGCUUGGUGAGGAGAAAAAGCUGAAGGCCACCCGGCCCAGUCAUGGGCUGCUUGUGGCCUUAAGUCAGAAUUGUCGUUGCUUGUGUGUUUUAAGUCUGAAUUGAAAAGUGGAUGCUGCAGAUCGUGGGCCCUGCAUUUCAGGGAACUGUGCUUUCAGUCUGAGCUCCAGCUUUUCAGAUGCCUGACUCACAACCCGGUCACCCACCACUCCUUCCACUUCAUAGCCAGCCUUCUUGGGCUGAGACUUUCAUCUCCGAGGGGGGAGUGGGAUUUGGAACCCAAUCUCCCUGCUCACCCUGCCGAAUUCACACCCAAUUAGUUAACUUCACCAGCCAUGCUUGGGCAUUAAAAUCAACAGGAGUCUUUCCAUUGGCCCCAAUGGGCAUUGGAUUCAGGCCCUUGUGAGGGGGAUGGAGGAAACCCUUUGAUGAGAGACUUGCUGCAUCUUUCAGGUACCUACAGAUGCAUGACUGCUGUACCCAGAUGGCAUCAUGCUGCUUUGUUAGUGUUUAUGGACACUGGGGUUUGCACAGUUCCUGUAUGAUGCUACUUUUCCGCCCUGAGAUUUGAGUGCCUACUUUGUAUAUCUGUCUAACAGCAAUGAGGAAUAACAAAGAUUAUUUUUAUUGGCAUUUGUAAUAUCUCUUGGGGCGAU